rnacentral:rRNA from 1 species
AACGCUAGCUACAGGCUUAACACAUGCAAGUCGAGGGGAAACGAUAUUGGAAGCUUGCUUCCGAUAGGCGUCGACCGGCGCACGGGUGAGUAACGCGUAUCCAACCUGCCCAUCACUUGGGGAUAACCUUGCGAAAGUAAGACUAAUACCCAAUGAUAUCUCAAGAAGACAUCUGAAUGAGAUUAAAGAUUUAUCGGUGAUGGAUGGGGAUGCGUCUGAUUAGCUUGUUGGCGGGGUAACGGCCCACCAAGGCGACGAUCAGUAGGGGUUCUGAGAGGAAGGUCCCCCACAUUGGAACUGAGACACGGUCCAAACUCCUACGGGAGGCAGCAGUGAGGAAUAUUGGUCAAUGGGCGAGAGCCUGAACCAGCCAAGUAGCGUGCAGGAUGACGGCCCUAUGGGUUGUAAACUGCUUUUAUAAGGGAAUAAAGUGAGCCUCGUGAGGCUUUUUGCAUGUACCUUAUGAAUAAGGACUGGCUAAUUCCGUGCCAGCAGCCGCGGUAAUACGGAAGGUCCGGGCGUUAUCCGGAUUUAUUGGGUUUAAAGGGAGCGUAGGCCGGAGAUUAAGCGUGUUGUGAAAUGUAGAUGCUCAACAUCUGCACUGCAGCGCGAACUGGUUUCCUUGAGUACGCACAAAGUGGGCGGAAUUCGUGGUGUAGCGGUGAAAUGCUUAGAUAUCACGAAGAACUCCGAUUG